GACGAACGCUGGCGGCGUGCUUAACACAUGCAAGUCGAACGGAAAGGCCCUGCUUGCAGGGUACUCGAGUGGCGAACGGGUGAGUAACACGUGGGUGAUCUGCCCUGCACUUCGGGAUAAGCCUGGGAAACUGGGUCUAAUACCGGAUAGGAGCCAUUUUUAGUGUGAUGGUUGGAAAGUUUUUUCGGUGUAGGAUGAGCUCGCGGCCUAUCAGCUUGUUGGUGGGGUAAUGGCCUACCAAGGCGGCGACGGGUAGCCGGCCUGAGAGGGUGGACGGCCACAUUGGGACUGAGAUACGGCCCAGACUCCUACGGGAGGCAGCAGUGGGAAAUAUUGCACAAUGGGCGCAAGCCUGAUGCAGCGACGCCGCGUGGGGGAUGACGGCCUUCGGGUUGUAAACUCCUUUCGCUAGGGACGAAGCUUUUUGUGACGGUACCUAGAGAAGAAGCACCGGCUAACUACGUG
rnacentral:rRNA from 1 species